rnacentral:ncRNA from 1 species
UUUGCUUAGUCGGGGUGCUGUCGUGAUGGACGGCUGAGAUGAUACCCGUGAACCUGAUACAGUUAAUACUGGCGUAGGAAACUAAAAUGGCAGCCAU